UACGAAGGGUGCAAGCGUUACUCGGAAUUACUGGGCGUAAAGCGUGCGUAGGUGGUUUGUUAAGUCUGAUGUGAAAGCCCUGGGCUCAACCUGGGAACUGCAUUGGAAACUGGCUUACUAGAGCGCGGUAGAGGGGUGCGGAAUUCCCGGUGUAGCAGUGAAAUGCGUAGAUAUCGGGAGGAACAUCCGUGGCGAAGGCGGCACCCUGGACCAGCACUGACACUGAGGCACGAAAGCGUGGGGAGCAAACAGG
rnacentral:rRNA from 1 species